UGGCUCAAUCUUAACGAUGGGUGAGUCUCUUGGUGUUUGGAGCGAUGAAGGGUGCAGCCAAGUGCGAUGCGCAGUGAAAAUUGCCGUGACUGUGAAUCUUAUGAAAGAUUAAUGUAAACUACACCAAUUCUUUUGAGGAAGAAUAAGGGCGCUCCUUCAUAAAAA
rnacentral:rRNA from 1 species